rnacentral:lncRNA from 1 species
CUUCUUUAGUUGUUUUCUGUUUAAUUUAUUGUUUGCAACGCAUCACCGAACAAGGCUAAAACUGAAUGAAGAUCGAUGAGAACAAAUCUUGCUUAUGUUGAGAGCCAACUGAUUACACGACAUUGGCAAAAGAAAGAGAAAAUUGAUCUCAUCGAACAAUUAGGGAAUUAAUGGUCCCCUAAAAACAGUGGCAUGAUAAAAAGAAGAGAAAGCUUUGGAUCGAGCGGGCGGCGGGACACAUAGAUCAGCACGUACGCGUUAUUACAAGCGAGUGAAAGAGACGGCUCCGGCUCCGGCUCCGGCUCCGGUUCAUCAUCUCCCGACGGACGGAUCGAUCAUUCCAAAGAAUUGCUCUAGACCCAUCUCAUCUCUGUCCGCCGGCCGAGCUCACCGACUGUCUCAGUCGGAGGUGCUAGGCUCCGGUGCUUACGCAGCGGAGGGCUCCCCGGCUGGGGCCGCGGGAGCGUCAGCGGGCGAGCUGAUGCACUUCACCGGUUGGCUUUCAUUCUUCCUGCUAGUGAAAUACAGAUUACCUCUUAGACCUCAGACGAAGAAGACGUACUACGAAUACACUGGCUUAUGGCAUACUCCCUUCGUUCUUGAAAGAACAUUUUCAACAUUCUUGAGGGGUCAAACUAUCUCAAAAUUUGACUGAGUUUGUGCAAAAAUAUGACAAUGUUUGUGAAACCAAAUAAAUAUAUAAUAAAAACAUAUUUUAUCAUGAAUCUAAUGCUACUAAUUUAAGGGAAAAAAAUAUGUAGCACCCGCAGUGUCUAAUUGACUCCUGCCUCUGAUCCUCCCGACACACUUGGGCCUCUCGGUCGAAUCUCGACGUGCUGCAUGCAGGGUAACAUGCAACACGGUGAGUUAAGCAUUGUACAGUAGAGAUUUAGAAAACAGUUGAACUCCCAGGUAAAUGUAAACAUACCUCCUGCACGGCCGGCGCCGGCGCCGACUUGGGGGCCUCCUCCUUGACCCCGGGGCGGCCGCAGCCGGCGACGCGGUCGACGAGGCCGAAAAACCUAUCCUUGAGCUGGGCGGCGAAGUUGGCCAUGUUGGUGGAAGUGAACAGACUGCACCUGCACGCUGCUACUCUCUCGACAAUCUGAACCACGUAGGUAGCUCUAGUGCUUGAUUUUGGUGGGGGG